UACGGGGGGGGCAAGCGUUGUUCGGAAUUACUGGGCGUAAAGGGUUCGUAGGUGGCCAACUAAGUCAGACGUGAAAUCCCCAGGCUUAACCUGGGAACUGCAUUCGAGACUGCAUUGCUAGAGUAUGGGAGAGGGAAGUGGAAUUUCCGGUGUAGCGGUGAAAUGCGUAGAUAUCGGAAGGAACAUCAGUGGCGAAAGCGACUUCCUGGACCAAUACUGACGCUCAUGUGCGAAAGCGUGGGGAGCAAACAGG
rnacentral:rRNA from 1 species